AUACGUAGGGUGCAAGCGUUAAUCGGAAUUACUGGGCGUAAAGCGUGCGCAGGCGGUUUUGUAAGACAGAGGUGAAAUCCCCGGGCUCAACCUGGGAACUGCCAUUGUGGCUGCAAGGCUGGAGUGCGGCAGAGGGGGGUGGAAUUCCGCGUGUAGCAGUGAAAUGCGUAGAUAUGCGGAGGAACACCGAUGGCGAAGGCAAUCCCCUGGGCCUGCACUGACGCUCAUGCACGAAAGCGUGGGGAGCAAACAGGAUUAGAUACCCCGGUAGUCCACGCCCUAAACGAUGUCAACUGGUUGUUGGGGAUUUAUUUUCUCAGUAACGAAGCUAACGCGUGAAGUUGACCGCCUGGGGAGUACGGCCGCAAGGUUAAAACUCAAAUGAAUUGACGGGG
rnacentral:rRNA from 1 species